ensembl:lncRNA
AUUAGCCUUGGGCUGGACAUAUGUGAAUCACACACGUGCCUUUCACAAGCUGGAAAGCCAAACGGACGGCCUGGCCUCGGCAGCACGUGUCUAGAGAUCAAACGGUUCAUUUGUAAAUCCUUAUGGGGUGAUGAACGAGCUGUUGUGAGUGAUGUCACGUUCUUAAGAAAACCCGAACGACGUUUGAGAUGUUUCACUCGAAGGAACGGAUGAAAGAAAAAACAAAGCUCGGUAUUUCAGAAAGGUGAUGACAUACCACCUCGAAGGAUUACUGGCGCUGAAACGAUUCCACCCAAAAGUAUUGCGAUGUCAACACUUUAAAGUUUACGUUAAUGGAUAAUUACCCGUUCUGCUUCAUCCUGUGCCAAGAUGUUGACACUACAUGGUCCAUUAAGUCAUCCAGCUCCCUACUAUGUGUGAACAGCUGAAAGCCACAUUGUGAUAGAUUCCCUGGAGGAACUUCAUGUAAUCUUCUGUGAUGUGCUGUCUUUAUCCUUGCUGUCUUUAUUUCGAGAUGGCUUGCAGAGGAUGCCAGUUUCCGAAGGGCGACUGACGCAGGUGUUGACAGUCUGUCAUGAUGUUUCAACAUGUCCGUCCUCCUCGAACCGCGCUGCUUCUGGGAUUGUAUAAACAAACCUACAGGUGUUUGGGUGGAACAUGUCUCUUUCGACUCCUGCAGAUGCCAAGAUAUCAUCCACCACACUUCAGCCGCCGUGCC